rnacentral:rRNA from 1 species
CUAUCUGCCGUGGGCGUUGGAUGUUUGAGAAGGGCUGCUCCUAGUACGAGAGGACCGGAGUGGACGCACCUCUGGUGUUCCGGUUGUCACGCCAGUGGCAUUGCCGGGUAGCUAUGUGCGGACGGGAUAACCGCUGAAAGCAUCUAAGCGGGAAGCCCCCUUCAAGAUGAGACAUCCCCGAGGCCUCGAGCCUCCUGAAGGGCCCAGCGAGACCAGCUGGUUGAUAGGCCGGGUGUGGAAGCGCUGCAAGGCGUUGAGCUAACCGGUACUAAUGGCCCGUGAGGCUUGACCAUA